UCCAGUCUCUCAUUCUCGUCCUUGGAUUGGCCGCGAGACAUUUAUCCGCUGUCCUAAGGCCUGCGCGAUGCACGACGGGAGAAAAGGAGGGGCGUCGGCGUGCAAGAUGGAGGCGACUACGGCCGGUGUGGGCCGGCUAGAGGAAGAGGCGUUGCGGCGAAAGGAACGGCUGAAGGCCCUACGGGAGAAAACCGGCCGCAAGGACAAGGAAGAUGGGGAGCCAAAGACCAAGCAUCUCAGAGAAGAGGAGGAAGAAGGCGAGAAGCACAGGGAACUUAGGCUGCGGAACUAUGUCCCGGAGGAUGAGGACCUGAAGAAGAGGAGGGUGCCCCAGGCCAAACCGGUUGCAGUGGAGGAGAAGGUGAAGGAGCAGCUGGAGGCCGCCAAGCCUGAGCCCGUCAUCGAGGAGGUGGACCUGGCCAACCUCGCUCCUCGGAAGCCUGACUGGGACCUCAAGAGAGAUGUGGCCAAGAAGCUGGAGAAACUAAAAAAGCGGACUCAGAGGGCCAUUGCCGAGCUGAUCCGUGAAAGGCUGAAAGGCCAGGACGACAGCCUAGCCUCUGCCGUGGAUGCUGCCACCGAGCAAAAGGCCUGUGACUCUGACUAAGUCAUGCCCUGCCCCACCACUCGCCCAUCAGGCCUGUCCUGCAGGGGAUGGUCUUGGGCAGGGAUGGGGGCUCGGCUUGCCGUCAACUCUAGUUUGGCUUCUGAGCAGAGACUCCCUGCCCCAUCAAGUCUGAAACCCCUAUCGGUGAGGUCAGCUCCGUGUCUCCCGGGUGGCCCCUGCCAUUCUGAAUGGCGGCAGAACCAGCAACAACUCUGGGCAUGCCUGUGUCUGCCCAUGUGAAUGUAAAUAGAAAUCUGUCAAAUAUUUCCUAGGUCUCGGGGUAGAUACUGUGGAUCUGGGCUCCACAGGGUGGAGAUGGAGCGACUGCAGAGGUGGUACUUGAUAUGUAUGAGUGAGUAAUCCCUGUGUUGGGCUGGGCAUGUUAAGGCUGGAGGGGUGGGGAACACUCAGGGCUGCCUUCUGCAGCCAUGUCCUGGCCCAGUCCAUGGUCACUGCUGGUUAUCUCAAGAUCCUUGGGUGAUAGAGACGGGGUCUGAGAAAGUCAUUUUUAAUACCUCCCCCGGGCCUAGGCCUUGCAGUGGUCUGUGGAGUAGCUGGAGAGGCUCCCACCCUGGUCCUCUGGGGAUCUUCUCACAGUAUGAGAGAGACUGGGCCUUGGCAAGCCCCAACUCAGGGCCACUCCAGAUUUGAUGCUGCUGUCACUGCUUUCCUCACUCACCCCAGCCCCAGGCGGCCCCUCUCCCUGCUCCACCAGUCAGAGCUAGACUGUAGCUCCCCUAGGACAGAGACCCUGCAUGGGAGGGGUGGCCCAUUCUGCUAGAGACGGGGACAUUGCAGGCUGGGUUUCAGGUGUGGUCGUGGACCCUAGAUCCCCAAGGUUCUGGCUUUAGGACAUGAGCCUCUUCUGUGGAGCUGACUCUCCAGGGUAGCUGGCUGGCUGCAUCAUCUCUGACUGCAGUACCUGUGGCCAACUGGACUUGCAUCUCCUCCAGGAUGGUUACACCCUUGAGUUUCCUUCGGGAUGUCACCUUGAGCCUCCUGCCUCUGCCCUAAGCCGUCUAGUGUGUUCUUCCUCUCCACGGUGUUCCAGAAACACAGUGACCCAUCUCUGGAGGACAGUGCCAAGCACUCCGGUCAUAGAGGCAGAGUGGGUUUGUGCACACAGAGACCAGCACACUCACACAACCAAUGAGAAAACCCUUUAAGUUAAAAUUAUGCAACUAUUCUUGGAAGGUAAUUCCUGUGUGGAAAAGAAACAGAAACUUCUAGUUGUAGGUGAGGGCUGAAGUGGUAGCUGGCCAGCUUCUGCAUUGAGUAGUAAGACCAGACCAAGACCCUGACUCCCACAUGGGGCAGAAACCCUUCCAAUAUUUCCUAGGUCCAGUGGUACAUGCAGGACUGGAGCCAGGCUCCCUCUGUCCAGUUGGCAAAACUGGAGCUGGGCUGUUUUUCCUAUGGAAAAAAAGGGUGAAAAGACUCCCUGCAUCUCCUGGGAUUGCAGCUGGAAACAGGAUGCAUGUCUGUAGCAGUGGAAGGACAUGGAUACCUGGUGACUGGCAACUAAGCUGCCACUCAGCAUCAGCUCUGGGACUAGGGUAGGGUUAUCCCCCAGUACGACAGUCCCGAGAGCUAUUGAAAGGUAUGCUUCUGGUUUUAUGACCCUGGGUGUUGUCCUAGAAGGAAAAACAAAGUACCAUGCAUCAUGAGUACGCAAACAAAAAUUACAAAAUACAUGAGAAAAUCCAGUGCCUUAAAGAAUGACCAGUAACCCAAGUGGGAGGAUUUAUACCCAAACUGAAAUAGUAACAGCCUACAAGGUUUUAAAAAUGAGCAUUUGUUUUUACAUCAGAGAGAUAAAAGAGGGUGUGGUACCCUAAGAACAGAGAUUAGACAUAAGAAAGAACUGAUGAUAAAGUUUGGAAAGAAAGAAUACAGCUCUUAAGAAACUCGGCCGGGCGCGGUGGCUCAAGCCUGUAAUCCCAGCACUUUGGGAGGCCGAGACGUGGUAACACGGUGAAACCCCGUCUCUACUAAAAAAUACA